rnacentral:rRNA from 1 species
UACGGGGGGUGCGAGCGUUGUCCGGAAUCACUGGGCGUAAAGGGCGCGUAGGUGGCUUUGUAAGUUUGCGGUGAAAGCCCGGGGCUCAACCCCGGGUCUGCCGUGGAUACUGCAAGGCUUGAGUACUGUAGAGGCAGGUAGAAUAUCGGGUGUAGCGGUGGAAUGCGUAGAGAUCCGGAAGAACACCGGUGGCGAAGGCGGUCUGCUGGGCAGUUGCUGACACUGAGGCGCGACAGCGUGGGGAGCAAACAGG